CGACAGAUGGGAUGUUGCUUGG
rnacentral:siRNA from 1 species